rnacentral:rRNA from 1 species
UACGAAGGGGGCUAGCGUUGUUCGGAAUUACUGGGCGUAAAGCGCACGUAGGCGGAUAUUUAAGUCAGGGGUGAAAUCCCAGAGCUCAACUCUGGAACUGCCUUUGAUACUGGGUAUCUUGAGUAUGGAAGAGGUAAGUGGAAUUGCGAGUGUAGAGGUGAAAUUCGUAGAUAUUCGCAGGAACACCAGUGGCGAAGGCGGCUUACUGGUCCAUAACUGACGCCGAGGUGCGAAAGCGUGGGGAGCAAACAGG